rnacentral:rRNA from 1 species
AGAGUUUGAUCAUGGCUCAGGACGAACGCUGGCGGCGUGCUUAACACAUGCAAGUCGAGCGGAAAGGCCCUUCGGGGUACUCGAGCGGCGAACGGGUGAGUAACACGUGAGUAACCUGCCCCUGACUCUGGGAUAAGCCCGGGAAACUGGGUCUAAUACCGGAUACGACACCUCCUGGCAUCGGGUGGGUGUGGAAAGUUUUUCGGUUGGGGAUGGACUCGCGGCCUAUCAGCUUGUUGGUGGGGUAAUGGCCUACCAAGGCGACGACGGGUAGCCGGCCUGAGAGGGCGACCGGCCACACUGGGACUGAGACACGGCCCAGACUCCUACGGGAGGCAGCAGUGGGGAAUAUUGCGCAAUGGGCGAAAGCCUGACGCAGCGACGCCGCGUGGGGGAUGACGGCCUUCGGGUUGUAAACCUCUUUCAGCAGGGACGAAGUUGACGUGUACCUGCAGAAGAAGCGCCGGCUAACUACGUGCCAGCAGCCGCGGUAAUACGUAGGGCGCAAGCGUUGUCCGGAAUUAUUGGGCGUAAAGAGCUCGUAGGUGGCUUGUCACGUCGGGUGUGAAAGCUUGGGGCUUAACUCCAGGUCUGCAUUCGAUACGGGCUGGCUAGAGGUAGGUAGGGGAGAACGGAAUUCCUGGUGUAGCGGUGAAAUGCGCAGAUAUCAGGAGGAACACCGGUGGCGAAGGCGGUUCUCUGGGCCUUACCUGACGCUGAGGAGCGAAGGCGUGGGGAGCGAACAGGAUUAGAUACCCUGGUAGUCCACGCUGUAAACGUUGGGCGCUAGGUGUGGGGAC